UUCGGCGAACGAAACUCUGGCGAACCAACACCAGAUCUGCCACCACCAACGUCCAAAGCACCGGCACCACCCAAAUCCGCACCACCUCAAACCAACCGCGCCACUCCCUUCAUCCCCUUUCCCCAUUUCGCAACUUCUUUGCCGGAGGUGAUAACCAUCAAAAGCCUCCCACACACCUUUGCUGCUACUACUCGACGGAAAGGGUCAUAUCUGACCAAGAUUUUCGUGUAUCAGGCGUCGCUUCGGCAUCCCCACCAUGGAAGCGACACUCUCGAUCAUUUUAUUCUUAUUUGGUGUUUUGGUUUUAAUAGAUGUAAUGGAAAAUAUUCUUUCUGCAUCUCUGUUGACAGUGGUUAUUAUUUUAUUGAUGUUUUAUUCAUAUUUGUGAUGUUUAUUCUUAUUGUCAAACUUUGAUUGAGAUUUGGAUGGAAAAACACC
rnacentral:lncRNA from 1 species